rnacentral:rRNA from 1 species
UACAGAGGUCCCGAGCGUUGUUCGGAUUUAUUGGGCGUAAAGGGUGCGUAGGUGGCAAAGUAAGUUGGAUGUGAAAUCCUGGGGCUCAGCCUCAGAAUUGCAUUCAAUACUGCUUAGCUAGAGAGCUGUAGAGGAGACUGGAAUUUACGGUGUAGCAGUGAAAUGCGUAGAUAUCGUAAGGAACGCCAGUGGCGAAAGCGAGUCUCUGGGCAGCAUCUGACACUGAGGCACGAAGGCCAGGGGAGCAAACGGG